UUAUAUAUUACAGUUUCAAAUAGCUUGAAAGAGGAUAUUGAAUGCUCACAACACAAAUAAAUGAUACAUGUUUGAGCAGAUGGAUAUGCUAAUGACCCUGAUUUGAUCACUAUACAUGAUUGGUG